AUUGAACGCUGGCGGCAUGCUUUACACAUGCAAGUCGGACGGCAGCGGGGUAGUGCUUGCACUACUGCCGGCGAGUGGCGAACGGGUGAGUAAUAUAUUGGAACGUACCGAGUAAUGGGGGAUAACCAAUCGAAAGAUUGGCUAAUACCGCAUACGCUCUGAGGAGGAAAGCAGGGGACCUUCGGGCCUUGCGUUAUUCGAGCGGCCAAUAUCUGAUUAGCUAGUUGGUGGGGUAAGGGCCUACCAAGGCGACGAUCAGUAGCGGGUCUGAGAGGAUGAUCCGCCACACUGGGACUGAGACACGGCCCAGACUCCUACGGGAGGCAGCAGUGGGGAAUUUUGGACAAUGGGCGCAAGCCUGAUCCAGCCAUGCCGCGUGUCUGAAGAAGGCCUUCGGGUUGUAAAGGACUUUUGUUAGGGAAGAAAAGGGAGCGGCUAAUACCCGUUUCUGCUGACGGUACCUAAAGAAUAAGCACCGGCUAACUACGUG
rnacentral:rRNA from 1 species